GCGACUAAGCGUACACGGUGGAUGCCCUGGCAGUCAGAGGCGAUGAAGGGCGUGCUAAUCUGCGAUAAGCGCCGGUAAGGUGAUAUGAACCGUUAUAACCGGCGAUACCCGAAUGGGGAAACCCAGUGUGACUCGUCACACUAUCAUUAACUGAAUCCAUAGGUUAAUGAGGCGAACCGGGGGAACUGAAACAUCUAAGUACCCCGAGGAAAAGAAAUCAACCGAGAUUCCCCCAGUAGCGGCGAGCGAACGGGGAGGAGCCCAGAGCCUGAAUCAGCAUGUGUGUUAGUGGAAGCGUCUGGAAAGGCGCGCGAUACAGGGUGACAGCCCCGUACACAAAAGCGCAUGUGCUGUGAGCUCGAUGAGUAGGGCGGGACACGUGGUAUCCUGUCUGAAUAUGGGGGGACCAUCCUCCAAGGCUAAAUACUCCUGACUGACCGAUAGUGAACCAGUACCGUGAG
rnacentral:rRNA from 1 species